UACGUAGGGGCAAGCGUUAUCCGGAAUUACUGGGCGUAAAGGGUGCGUAGGUGGUUUCUUAAGUCAGAGGUGAAAGGCUACGGCUCAACCGUAGUAAGCUUUUGGAACUGUAAGACUUGAGUGCAGGAGAGGAGAGUGGAAUUCCUAGUGUAGCGGUGAAAUGCGUAGAUAUUAGGAGGAACACCAGUAGCGAAGGCGGCUCUCUGGACUGUAACUGACGCUGAGGCACGAAAGCGUGGGGAGCAAACAGGAUUAGAUACCCGGGUAGUCCCUGAG
rnacentral:rRNA from 1 species